CCGUCUACCUAGACCAAGAAGACACGCUCGUUUCUCGACACGCGAAGCAAUUCGAGCAGCGUCUUUAUGAGAAGCGUCGGGACGUAUAUCGGCGCGAUAUUCCCAGCCUGAAAUCAAGGCUACAAUAAAGAAUGCAGAAAUAGAAAAUGAUAGUUGACGUAAUCUAUAAGUGUGCAGUGAAGAAUUAUUAAGACAAGAAUCAAUCAUAUUAAAAGGAUCUUACAGUUACAAAGCUACUUUUUCUGCUAAAUGCAGCAAUUGCUGAUCGCAUAUUCGUAACACGAACGUCAAGGGAUCUCAGUAAGCCACAUUUAGCGCUAAAUACGCGAGGCAAAUGCGGGCAGUCGUACUGGUACAUUCGCGGCUCUUUGUAUCCGGUGACGCCGAUAUCACGCAUAAACCGACCGCGGCCGCGGCCUUUGAUAUCCAAAUCCUGCCGCUUCUAGGCUAAUAACGAUUUCCGCCUUCGCGGUUAUCCACCCGCCGCCUCGACCCCGCCGAUGGCUGAACAGCCAUCCAUUCGACCUCAUCCACCUCCUCUCUGUCGACCUCUCUCUCUCCUCACCGCCUGUAUACGUCUAUUGUAAUUUCCGCCACUCUCCGUCUAACCCUCUCGCCCUUUAUUCUCCGUUCGCUCGAACGGCUUCCUGCAAAUAACUCACCGCCAUUCGCACCGCGGAGACGGUAUCAGCAGGACGAUUUCUAUCACUGUCGGGUUUUCCUUGCCUCUUCCCCUCUCGAGCGAAUCUCCGGAUAUCGAAUUCUUACGCGCCGGCGCCCGCAGCGGCACAAUAAUGAAUAAAGCAUCAUCGUGUACCGGUAACUACGACUGCGACUGUGAGUACGACGACGACGACGACGACGACGACGACGACGACGAGUCGUGAAACGUGCAUUUUUGCCGCGAGACGUCUCGUAAGACAUUUUCUAAGGGACUUCUCGUUUAUACCCGUUCACUCGCGCGAGCGAUAUUACCCACGACGUUUCCCACUUAUACAUAUGUAUUCCGCGCGCAUGCCGUAAAGAUGGAAAUACACUUUAACGCAUUAUUCACUGCACGCGUGCCUCUUUUUACGUUUGCGCGAAUAACCUGCACGAUCAAUUCACAGAUCCAUAUCUGCGAUGGAACAAAUUGGUUUUUGAAAUGAAAAACUUUAGUCGCAUCAAGAGAGAGAGAGAGAGGGAGAGAGAGAGAAAGAAAUAUAUAUUAUUUUUAAAUUGUAAAUGUAUUAUUUUUAAUAAACAGAAUGUAAUAGAAAUUCUACUAAGAUUCUAAUAAAAAGAUAUGCGAAUGAAA